AGAGUUUGAUCCUGGCUCAGAUUGAACGCUGGCGGCAUGCUUUACACAUGCAAGUCGGACGGCAGCACAGAGAAGCUUGCUUCUCGGGUGGCGAGUGGCGAACGGGUGAGUAACAUAUCGGAACGUACCGAGUAGUGGGGGAUAACUGAUCGAAAGAUCAGCUAAUACCGCAUACGUCUUGAGAGAGAAAGCAGGGGACCUUUGGGCCUUGCGCUAUUCGAGCGGCCGAUAUCUGAUUAGCUAGUUGGUGGGGUAAAGGCCUACCAAGGCGACGAUCAGUAGCGGGUCUGAGAGGAUGAUCCGCCACACUGGGACUGAGACACGGCCCAGACUCCUACGGGAGGCAGCAGUGGGGAAUUUUGGACAAUGGGCGCAAGCCUGAUCCAGCCAUGCCGCGUGUCUGAAGAAGGCCUUCGGGUUGUAAAGGACUUUUGUCAGGGAAGAAAAGGCUGUUGCUAAUAUCAGCGGCUGAUGACGGUACCUGAAGAAUAAGCACCGGCUAACUACGUGCCAGCAGCCGCGGUAAUACGUAGGGUGCGAGCGUUAAUCGGAAUUACUGGGCGUAAAGCGGGCGCAGACGGUUACUUAAGCAGGAUGUGAAAUCCCCGGGCUCAACCCGGGAACUGCGUUCUGAACUGGGUGACUCGAGUGUGUCAGAGGGAGGUAGAAUUCCACGUGUAGCAGUGAAAUGCGUAGAGAUGUGGAGGAAUACCGAUGGCGAAGGCAGCCUCCUGGGACAACACUGACGUUCAUGCCCGAAAGCGUGGGUAGCAAACAGGAUUAGAUACCCUGGUAGUCCACGCCCUAAACGAUGUCAAUUAGCUGUUGGGCAACUUGAUUGCUUAGUAGCGUAGCUAACGCGUGAAAUUGACCGCCUGGGGAGUACGGUCGCAAGAUUAAAACUCAAAGGAAUUGACGGGGACCCGCACAAGCGGUGGAUGAUGUGGAUUAAUUCGAUGCAACGCGAAGAACCUUACCUGGUCUUGACAUGUACGGAAUCCUCCAGAGACGGAGGAGUGCCUUCGGGAGCCGUAACACAGGUGCUGCAUGGCUGUCGUCAGCUCGUGUCGUGAGAUGUUGGGUUAAGUCCCGCAACGAGCGCAACCCUUGUCAUUAGUUGCCAUCAUUCAGUUGGGCACUCUAAUGAGACUGCCGGUGACAAGCCGGAGGAAGGUGGGGAUGACGUCAAGUCCUCAUGGCCCUUAUGACCAGGGCUUCACACGUCAUACAAUGGUCGGUACAGAGGGUAGCCAAGCCGCGAGGCGGAGCCAAUCUCACAAAACCGAUCGUAGUCCGGAUUGCACUCUGCAACUCGAGUGCAUGAAGUCGGAAUCGCUAGUAAUCGCAGGUCAGCAUACUGCGGUGAAUACGUUCCCGGGUCUUGUACACACCGCCCGUCACACCAUGGGAGUGGGGGAUACCAGAAGUAGGUAGGGUAACCGCAAGGAGUCCGCUUACCACGGUAUGCUUCAUGACUGGGGUGAAGUCGUAACAAGGUAGCCGUAGGGGAACCUGCGGCUGGAUCACCU
rnacentral:rRNA from 1 species